rnacentral:rRNA from 1 species
CAGUCACAGUUCGGAUUGAAGGCUGAAAUUCGCCUUCAUGAAGCCGGAAUUGCUAGUAAUGGCAGGUCAGCAUACUGCCGUGAAUACGUUCCCGGGCCUUGUACACACCGCCCGUCACACCAUGAGAGUUGGGAAUACCCGAAGCCUGUGAGCUAACUUUUAGAGGCAGCAGUCGAAGGUAGAAUCAAUGAUUGGGGUGAAGUCGUAACAAGGUACC